AGAGUUUGAUCCUGGCUCAGGACGAACGCUGACGGUGUGCUUUAGACAUGCAAGUCGAACGAGAAAGCCCUUCGGGGUGAGUAAAGUGGCGAACGGGUGAGUAACACGUGGGCAAUCUGCCCCUCGCAGGGGGACAACCGGGGGAAACCCCGGCUAAUACCCCGUACGCUUUCGGAGCCGCAUGGCUCCGUGAGGAAAGGUAGCUUCGGCCAUCUGGCGAGGGAUGAGCCCGCGGUACAUUAGCUAGUUGGUGGGGUAACGGCCCACCAAGGCGACGAUGUAUAGCUGGUCUGAGAGGAUGAUCAGCCACACUGGGACUGAGACACGGCCCAGACUCCUACGGGAGGCAGCAGUCGGGAAUCUUGCGCAAUGGGCGAAAGCCUGACGCAGCAACACCGUGUGAGCGACGAAGGCCUUCGGGUCGUAAAGCUCUGUUGUUGGGGACGAAGGGCGAAGGGUUAAUAGCCCCUAGCUUGACGGUACCCUUCGAGGAAGCCCCGGCUAACUACGUGCCAGCAGCCGCGGUAAUACGUAGGGGGCGAGCGUUCGCGGUAAUACGUAGGGGGCGAGCGUUGUCCGGAAUUAUUGGGGCGUAAGAGCGUGUAGGCGGUUCGGUAAGUCUGCCGUGAAAACCUGGGGCUCAACCCCGGGGCGUGCGGGUGGAUACUGCCGGGGCUAGAGGGUGGUAGAGGCCGAGUGGAAAUUCCCCGGUGUUACCGGUGGAAAUUGCGCAGAAUUUCGGGGAGGAUCCCCAGUAGCGAAGGCCGGCUUCGCCUGGGCC
rnacentral:rRNA from 1 species